AUUGAACGCUGGCGGCAGGCCUCACACAUGCAAGUCGGGCUAGCGGCGGACGGGUGAGUAAUGGAUUGGGAUAUGCCUGAUGGCGGGGGAUAACUACUGGAAACGGUAGCUCAUACCGCAUACCGUCCGCGGAACCCAUAUGGGAUUAGCUUGUAGGUAAGGUAACGGCUUACGUAGGCGACGAGCCCUAGCUGGUCUGAGAGGAUGAUCAGCCACACUGGGACUGAGACACGGCCCAGACUCCUACGUGAGGCAGCAGUGGGGAAUAUUGCACAAUGGGCGCAAGCCUGAUGCAGCCAUGCCGCGUGUAUGAAGAAGGCCUUCGGGUUGUAAAGUACUUUCAGUCGGGAGGCGUUACCGACAGAAGAAGCACCGGCUAACUCCGUGCCAGCAGCGGCGGUAAUAC
rnacentral:rRNA from 1 species